AACGCCUCUUGAAUAACUGGAUGCAAGAUUUGCAUUUAUGUGCAUACAGUUCAGACGGAGGCGCAAAACAACAUGAAUCAUUUUGAUGGAAUGGAAUUGUUUUAUCUAAUCGUUCCUUUCUUAGAUUGAUUCAAAUAUUU